GGCGCACGAGCUGGAAAAGUGGUGUCUCUUGUCAUGUGAGGCUGCUGAGCAAAUGCCAGAGAAGUGAGUGUAUGAGCAGUGCAGGUAUGGAAGAGAAUGGGAGCCAGUUCGCAUGGCAAGAGCCAUGGGAAAGCUCUCUGUGUCAGCACAUCUGCUUGAGGACACAAUUGUGACACUUUUUGAGGCCUUGUGGACAGGUGCCUUGCAGGGAGCUUAAGCCUCAAGCAGCAAAUGAAGUCCAGGGAGGCUGUCCUCCCAUGCAGGCAGACAGCAUUGCUGUCUUCUUUUCUGGAACCCUUACUCAGAGUUACGUCCAGUCUGCAAUGAAGCAUUUUUUUUUGUGAUCUAAAACCUCAACCAGAAACCGAUAUUAGUGAAUAAUCAAGGAGGGAGAAAAAGACCUGAUGUGUCAGGGGGAGUUUGGAGUUCUGCUUCAGCCUGAAGAUCUAAAGCUGAGACAUCCUUCCUGCAGAGCAGCAGUACGUGGGAUGCACCCACUGAGCCCUGGGUGCGUGUGUGCUUCCAGCACCUGCAGGGAAACACUCUGUGUUGAAAUCUAUUUGUCACUGCUCACAUUAAACAAAAUCAGGAAUUUGCAUAAUUCCUUCAGAAAGCAAUAAGAAUUCGUUUCACCAUGCUGAAUACAACCACGUGUAAUUUUGUCAUGCUUAAGUUAACUACUGAAUUUCUUACCAUUCCCCAUCGUUUUAUGAUUUUAAGGAAAUGGAUGUUGGCAGUAGCUGAAGUGAAAUCUGUCUUUAAGAAGAGAUGAAUAAUCACUGAGACACAUUGCACACACUGUGAAACAUUUUUGGCAUAAAAUGAAAUGCACGUAUUGUAUUUGUAACCAACAUACCUUAAAAGCAGAGCAAAGAUUGAUCUCCCAGGCACAGGGUCAAAGAUCUAUAACAAACUCUAUACAAUGCAUGCUGUUUGCAUUUAGUAAUCAUACUCUGCUCUGUGUAACUAGAAACAAGAUUCAUUGAAGACAAUAAUUCAGCAGCCUUUUUUGCCAUAGUGUUUUACUACAAUCCCAUUAUCCUGCCAUAUUACGUUUUACAGUAUGUGUGCAAGUCCCAUAAAUACAUGAGCCUAUGUAAAAUAGGCAGCAAUGACUCUCACUGCUUUCUGAACUCCGCAGCUUGUGAAUUUUAUGUGGGUUUUGCAUUUUGUUGAUGUGUUUGCAGCAGGAUGUAUACUGCCCAGAAGAGAAAUUAUUUUAUAUUUCCAUUAAAAGCUACAGCAGUAAAUAAGCCAUCAGAACUCAUGCAGAUUUUCACUGGAACUUCUACAGCAGUCCAUUAAAGCAUCAAAAUCUGUGUUAAAAAUUUGAAAAAGUAUUUGGAUACAGCUCCAUUUAAACCUUAAAUAUAUAUUUGGAUAUAAAUGAUAAAGAUAUUUUAGAGUCUUCUGCAGACCUCUCGAGUUUGCACUCAUCAACAACAGCUCAGCACAACGGCAGAUGCAGAAGGGUCUGCAAGUCAUUGAUACCCAAAUAUGAACUAUUCAGAGACUUAAUCUCAGAAGGUAUUUACUUAGAAUAAAAGAGAUUUGGAAUAAAUCUCCAGGCCAACUUCUGCUCCAAUUGACUUUAUCAGCGCUCCAGCACUUCCAGUUGGGACUUGGCUCCUCGAGCUAACACCAGAUGCAACACAGAACUGCAGCUCUCCCAUUUAGCAGCAUAAGCACUGCAGCACUGCUCUGGCAAAGAUGAACAGAAUCCAGAAAGCAAAAGGGUUCGUUUGAUUUUCUUUAUGUGAAAGCCUGCUGUUUAGAAAUGCUGAUCUCUAGUAUCAAUAAGUUGGAAGACUCAUUACUAACGUGCCCACAACCAACAUCACAGCCCCUGACCAGAACAGUGAAGAGAACUUAAAAACAGAUGCCUAAAAAGAUUUCUAGCAAAAAUCAGCUACAAAAUUACAUCUUAACUUGUUCCAACAUCCCAAAUUCCACUCUUAUGCACUGAUAAUGUAAGAUGUACAGAAUAAAGGUUAUCCUAAACUUCACUGAAUGCAUAUUGACCAAGUCUUUUCCAGGCUCCAGUUCAACAACCAUCACAGAGUGCAACAUCACAACCAUCAAGAAGCAGACAGGAAAGAAAUGCCAUCAAUGAACCAAAGAGGAUGCUGUAAUUUAUUCUGUUUGCUGACUCCAGGAUCCUGUGGAAAGCACCAGGAUCUAUUAGUAAUAUUGAUUCCAGAUGCAGCCCAAGUACAGACUUGCACAAAAAGACAGAAUCAAGUUGUUCAAUUCUUCAUUAUUUCACUUCUAAAGUAAACGAAUGUGCCACUGAGAGGCACCGAGUCCAAUGCUCAGUAUGUUCUUAAAAUUAAUAGAAGAAUAUCCUUUGGCAAGAAAAGAGGAAAACAUUCAGGGAUGACAAUUAUGGUUACUGACCUGCCAACAUUAUGGAUAUGAAAUCUUACCCAAGUUGCUUUACAUAGUCACUGACAGCAGGUAUGAACAGAACUAGAUCUUGUUAAUAGUAUGACUGUAAUACAUAGAAAGGAGCAGCAAACACAUUUCUUGAGGAUGAGGGCUUAGCAUCCAUUGCAGAAACUUGCCCCUCCUUUGCUUUGCACUGAUCUAAAGCCAAGAUUUGUAAAAAGAGAGCAAUGGGGCUUAAGAACCCAGCUGGGUUUAACUCCUUUACAUCUUGAUAAACACAAAGGUUUAUGGGUUUUUUUCUCACCAAACAUGGCAGCAGAGACCUGAGGCUGAGCACCCAUCUGGCAGCUCCCAGAAACCAUCAGCAGAUGUGGAUUUAUCAUCCUAUCCAACUCCUGUGCUACACCACAAUUGCAGCACUGCACACACCCUGAGCUAAAUGAAGCCUCUGUUGCACACAAUUAAUAAACCUAUCUAUGGGGAGAAUCUCUUGUGGGGAUUGUGAGCCAGAACUGCCUCUUCCCUGGGCCAACACUGCAUCAAUUGUGCGAGAAAUGGCUCUGGUCCCAUCCAAUCUGUGCCAGCAGAGAUUGUUACAUUCAAACCAACAUUUGCCACAGCAGGGGACUAUCAGAUGCUCUACUUGAAAGGCUGGAUUUUCUUUUUUGUUUUGUUGUUUAACUCAUU